GAAUAUUGGUCAAUGGGCGCAAGCCUGAACCAGCCAUGCCGCGUGAAGGAUGACGGCACUAUGCGUUGUAAACUUCUUUUAUAAGGGAAGAAACUUCUCUACGUGUAGAGCGUUGACGGUACCUUACGAAUAAGCAUCGGCUAACUCCGUGCCAGCAGCCGCGGUAAUACGGAGGAUGCAAGCGUUAUCCGGAUUUAUUGGGUUUAAAGGGUGCGUACGCGGAAAAUUAAGUCAGUGAUGAAAUCCUGCAGCUCAACUGUAGAACUGUUAUUGAUACUGAUUUUCUUGAAUUUAGUUGAGGUAGGCGGAAUGUGUAAUGUAGCGGUGAAAUGCUUAGAUAUUACACAGAACACCGAUUGCGAAGGCAGCUUACUAAGCUAAAAUUGACGCUGAGGCACGAAAGCGUGGGGAGCGAACAGGAUUAGAUACCCUGGUAGUCCACGCCGUAAACGAUGAUUACUCGUUGUUGGCGAUACAUAGUCAGCGACUGAGCGAAAGCAUUAAGUAAUCCACCUGGGGAGUACGAUCGCAAGAUUGAAACUCAAAGGAGUUGAC
rnacentral:rRNA from 1 species